UGUUUCGGCAAGGGGGUCAUCCCGACUUACCAACCCGAUGCAAACUGCGAAUACCGGAGAAUGUUAUCACGGGAGACACACGGCGGGUGCUAACGUCCGUCGUGAAGAGGGAAACAACCCAGACCGCCAGCUAAGGUCCCAAAGUCAUGGUUAAGUGGGAAACGAUGUGGGAAGGCCCAGACAGCCAGGAUGUUGGCUUAGAAGCAGCCAUCAUUUAAAGAAAGCGUAAUAGCUCACUGGUCGAGUCGGCCUGCGCGGAAGAUGUAACGGGGCUAAACCAUGCACCGAAGCUGCGGCAGCGACGCUUAUGCGUUGUUGGGUAGGGGAGCGUUCUGUAAGCCUGUGAAGGUGUGCUGUGAGGCAUGCUGGAGGUAUCAGAAGUGCGAAUGCUGACAUAAGUAACGAUAAAGCGGGUGAAAAGCCCGCUCGCCGGAAGACCAAGGGUUCCUGUCCAACGUUAAUCGGGGCAGGGUGAGUCGACCCCUAAGGCGAGGCCGAAAGGCGUAGUCGAUGGGAAACAGGUUAAUAUUCCUGUACUUGGUGUUACUGCGAAGGGGGGACGGAGAAGGCUAUGUUGGCCGGGCGACGGUUGUCCCGGUUUAAGCGUGUAGGCUGGUUUUCCAGGCAAAUCCGGAAAAUCAAGGCUGAGGCGUGAUGACGAGGCACUACGGUGCUGAAGCAACAAAUGCCCUGCUUCCAGGAAAAGCCUCUAAGCAUCAGGUAACAUCAAAUCGUACCCCAAACCGACACAGGUGGUCAGGUAGAGAAUACCAAGGCGCUUGAGAGAACUCGGGUGAAGGAACUAGGCAAAAUGGUGCCGUAACUUCGGGAGAAGGCACGCUGAUAUGUAGGUGAAGCGACUUGCUCGUGGAGCUGAAAUCAGUCGAAGAUACCAGCUGGCUGCAACUGUUUAUUAAAAACACAGCACUGUGCAAACACGAAAGUGGACGUAUACGGUGUGACGCCUGCCCGGUGCCGGAAGGUUAAUUGAUGGGGUCAGCGCAAGCGAAGCUCUUGAUCGAAGCCCCGGUAAACGGCGGCCGUAACUAUAACGGUCCUAAGGUAGCGAAAUUCCUUGUCGGGUAAGUUCCGACCUGCACGAAUGGCGUAAUGAUGGCCAGGCUGUCUCCACCCGAGACUCAGUGAAAUUGAACUCGCUGUGAAGAUGCAGUGUACCCGCGGCAAGACGGAAAGACCCCGUGAACCUUUACUAUAGCUUGACACUGAACAUUGAGCCUUGAUGUGUAGGAUAGGUGGGAGGCUUUGAAGUGUGGACGCCAGUCUGCAUGGAGCCGACCUUGAAAUACCACCCUUUAAUGUUUGAUGUUCUAACGUUGACCCGUAAUCCGGGUUGCGGACAGUGUCUGGUGGGUAGUUUGACUGGGGCGGUCUCCUCCUAAAGAGUAACGGAGGAGCACGAAGGUUGGCUAAUCCUGGUCGGACAUCAGGAGGUUAGUGCAAUGGCAUAAGCCAGCUUGACUGCGAGCGUGACGGCGCGAGCAGGUGCGAAAGCAGGUCAUAGUGAUCCGGUGGUUCUGAAUGGAAGGGCCAUCGCUCAACGGAUAAAAGGUACUCCGGGGAUAACAGGCUGAUACCGCCCAAGAGUUCAUAUCGACGGCGGUGUUUGGCACCUCGAUGUCGGCUCAUCACAUCCUGGGGCUGAAGUAGGUCCCAAGGGUAUGGCUGUUCGCCAUUUAAAGUGGUACGCGAGCUGGGUUUAGAACGUCGUGAGACAGUUCGGUCCCUAUCUGCCGUGGGCGCUGGAGAACUGAGGGGGGCUGCUCCUAGUACGAGAGGACCGGAGUGGACGCAUCACUGGUGUUCGGGUUGUCAUGCCAAUGGCACUGCCCGGUAGCUAAAUGCGGAAGAGAUAAGUGCUGAAAGCAUCUAAGCACGAAACUUGCC
rnacentral:rRNA from 1 species